GGAGAGGUGUCCGAGUGGCUGAAGGAGCACGCCUGGAAAGUGUGUAUAGUGGAAACGCUAUCGCGGGUUCGAAUCCCGCCCUCUCCG
rnacentral:tRNA from 1 species